rnacentral:lncRNA from 1 species
CAAGAGCGGGGGCAGAGCACGCCGACCGAGGCGUGGGCACCUUCCUAGGGCGCACCUCGGAGUCCUCGGGCUCUUGCCUAGACGGGAAGGGACGGGGCAGAUCUCCUUCCAGCGGAGCCCCGGGGGCCUCGCGCAAACCUAGGGCGACAGGAGGAAUGCGUCGGGACCGGGCGGGAAGAAGACAGAAUAGAAUGGGGGACCCAGCACCCUCCCCGUCCCCUUGUCCUCCUUCGCUUACUUGCGUUCUUGGGAGGUUCGCGAGGAACGGGUUAUUAAUCCCCGCUUGGUGGAGUAGGAACUCGCCCUGAAGAAAGCCCUGUUUGUGCAGUUUGCUGAGGUGUUCCCGUUGAAGGUGUUCGGCUACCAGCCAGAUCCCAUGCGCUACCAAGAGGCUGUGGGCUUCCUGGAACUGCUGGCUGGGCUGCUGCUGGUCCUGGGCCCACGGAUGCUGCAAGAGAUCAGUAACUUGCUUUUGACCCUGCUCAUGAUGGCCCUACCCUUGAGACGAGGAGAUGGAGUUGCAGCUGCCCGUGGAGUUAUGCGUCUGGCAGGUGGGAACAGAGAGCAAGGGAGCUGGGCCCCCUGA